rnacentral:rRNA from 1 species
UAGUGGCGGACGGGUGAGUAACGCGUGGGUAACCUGCCAUAUACAGGGGGAUAACACUUAGAAAUAGGUGCUAAUACCGCAUAAGCGCACAGGGGCGCAUGCCCCGGUGUGAAAAACUCCGGUGGUAUAUGAUGGACCCGCGUCUGAUUAGCCAGUUAGCAGGGUAACGGCCUACCAAAGCGACGAUCAGUAGCCGGCCUGAGAGGGCGGACGGCCACAUUGGGACUGAGACACGGCCCAAACUCCUACGGGAGGCAGCAG